rnacentral:rRNA from 1 species
CCUACGGGAGACAGCAGUGGGGAAUAUUGCGCAAUGGGCGAGAGUCUGAACCAGCCAAGUAGCGUGAAGGAUGACUGCCCUACGGGUUGUAAACUUCUUUUAUAUGGGAAUAAAAUGUUCCACGUGUGGGACUUUGUAUGUACCAUAUGAAUAAGGAUCGGCUAACUCCGUGCCAGCAGCCGCGGUAAUACGGAGGAUCCGAGCGUUAUCCGGAUUUAUUGGGUUUAAAGGGAGCGUAGGUGGAUUGUUAAGUCAGUUGUGAAAGUUUGCGGCUCAACCGUAGAAUUGCAGUUGAAACUGGCAGUCUUGAGUACAGUAGAGGUUGGCGGAAUUCGUGGUGUAGCGGUGAAAUGCUUAGAUAUCACGAAGAACUCCGAUUGCGAAGGCAGCUCACUGGAGUGCAACUGACACUGAGGCUCGAAAGUGUGGGUAUCAAACAGGAUUAGAUACCCCAGUAGUC